AAUAGGGCGUUUUGUCAGUGGCGGUAGACGCGAAACCAGGUGAACUACCCAUGAGCAGGUUGAAGCGCGGGUAAGACUGCGUGGAGGACCGAACCCACCUAGGUUGAAAACUGGGGGGAUGACUUGUGGGGAGGAGUAAAAGUCUAAUCAAACCUGGAGAUAGCUCGUUCUCUCCGAAAUAGCUUUAGGGCUAGCCUUGAGCCACUACGUAAUGGGGGUAGAGCACUGAUUUGGACUGGGGGGCUUCCCGCCUACCCACCCUAGUUAAACUCCGAAUACCAUUACGAUUAUCUCAGGAGUCAGUCCACGAGGGAGAAGCUUCGUGGUCGAGAGGGAAACAACCCAGAUCGCCUGCUAAGGUCCCAAAGUCUUGCUAAGUCACUAAGGAUGUUAAGAUACUGUGACAGCCAGGAUGUUGGCUUAGAAGCAGCCAUCAUUUAAAAAGUGCGUAAUAGCUUACUGGUCGAGUGUUUUAGCACCGAUAAUGAACGGGAGUAAGUAAGACACCGAAGCAGCGGAUUCAGCUUAUGCUGAGUGGUAGGAGAGCGUUCCAGUGCAGAUACUAGCCGUACCGUAAGGAGCGGUGUUGGGCACUGGAAGUGAUUAUGCCGGAAUGAGUAACGAUAAAACAGGUGAGAAUCCUGUUCGCCGCAAACCUAAGGUUUCCUGGGGAAGGUAAUUCCGCCCAGGGUUAGCCGGUACCUUAGUUGAGGCCGAAAGGCGUAGACGAUGGAGAGCAGGUUAAUAUUCCUGCGCCGGAUAUGUGGACCGAUGGGGGGACGUUGUGUAGAUUGUGAUCGGGCUGACAGAAAUGCCCGUAGGGGAAGACAAGGCUGUGGAUAGGAAAAUCCGCCACAUCAAGCCAAGGCUUUCACUCGAGUCCAAUGAUGACGAAGUCAUAUGACGCAUAACCAAGAAAAGCCUCUAAGGAUUGAAGCAUAUCUGACCGUACUAAAACUGACACAGGUAGGUGAGGCGCGUAGCCUAAGGCGCUCGGGAAAACGCUGGUUAAGGAACUCUGCAAAAUGACCCCGUAAGUUCGCGAUAAGGGGUGCCUCCGAUGGUUCACGCUGUUGGAGGUCACAGUAAAUCGGCUCUGGCGACUGUUUACUAAAAACACAGGACUCUGCGAACUCGUAAGAGGAUGUAUAGAGUCUGACUCCUGCUCGGUGCCGGUAAGUUAAGGAAGAGGGUUAGCCUUUGGGCGAAGCUCGCAACCGAAGCUCCGGUAAACGGCGGCCGUAACUAUGACGGUCCUAAGGUAGCGAAGUUCCUUGUCGGGUAAGUUCCGACCCGCACGAAAGGCGUAACGACUUCCGCACUGUCUCAACAACAGGCUCGGCGAAAUUGAAGUCGUGGUGAAGAUACCACGUUCCCGCACCAAGACGGAAAGACCCCGUGAACCUUCACUAUAGCCUGAUAUUGAGGCUUGUUAAGAUCGGAAGAGCGUCGUGUAGGGAAAGA
rnacentral:rRNA from 1 species